UGUGGAUGGAGAAGGGUCAGGGAAAGCCUAGUGGAAGAUGUGUGAUCAGGCUGUACUGUGAGGCUGCCAAAGCUCAAAACAAACUAAAAUAGGACAAGCUGUGGGAAGAACAGAUGAGCAGGCCUUAAAUGCUAAGCUCAGACACUGGGCUUGCUAGGCCAGGAAACCCCCAGCCAAGGAUGGGUUCUAACUGAUUUCUGUGUCCCGAAUAGAGCCUGACACCAGGCGAUUUGCCACGAGAAGGACAUGGCCUGGUGGCUACUGCACCUUCAGCUUCCGCACACAUAAAUACAUAUGGAACACACCGGACCUAGUCUCCAGCCUGGAGCCAUGCCUACAGCAUGGCUGAAGCAUGAAGCAGGGCUAACUGGCCACAUUCAACCUCCAUCAGCUGAAGCACAAUACACCUGCAAACCUAUGAGUCUGAGAAUAAAGGCUUGUUAUUGAAAGCCA